GACGAACGCUGGCGGCGUGCUUAACACAUGCAAGUCGAACGGAAAGGCCCUGCUUGCUGGGUACUCGAGUGGCGAACGGGUGAGUAACACGUGGGUGAUCUGCCCUGCACUGCGGGAUAAGCCUGGGAAACUGGGUCUAAUACCGGAUAGGAGCCAUUUUUAGUGUGAUGGUUGGAAAGUUUUUUCGGUGUAGGAUGAGCUCGCGGCGUAUCAGCUUGUGGGUGGGGUAAUGGCCUACCAAGGCGGCGACGGGUAGCCGGCCUGAGAGGGUGGACGGCCACACUGGGACUGAGAUGCGGCCCAGACUCCGACGGGAGGCAGCAGUGGGGAAGAUUGCACAAUGGGCGCAAGCCUGAUGCAGCGACGCCGCGUGGGGGAUGACGGCCUUCGGGUUGUAAACUCCUUUCGCUAGGGACGAAGCUUUUUGUGACGGUACCUAGAUAAGAAGCACCGGCUAACUACGUG
rnacentral:rRNA from 1 species